AACGAACGCUGGCGGCAUGCCUAACACAUGCAAGUCGAACGAGACCUUCGGGUCUAGUGGCGCACGGGUGCGUACCGCGUGGGAACCUGCCCUUAGGUUCGGAAUAACUCCCCGAAAGGGGUGCUAAUACCGGAUAAUCUCUUCGGACCAAAGAUUUAUCGCCUUUGGAUGGGCCCGCGUUGGAUUAGCUAGUUGGUAGGGUAAAAGCCUACCAAGGCGACGAUCCAUAGCUGGUCUGAGAGGAUGAUCAGCCACACUGGGACUGAGACACGGCCCAGACUCCGACGGGGGGCAGCAGUGGGGAAUAUUGGACAAUGGGCGAAAGCCUGAUCCAGCAAUGCCGCGUGAGUGAUGAAGGCCUUAGGGUUGUAAAGCUCUUUUACCCGGGAUGAGAAUGACAGUACCGGGAGAAUAAGCUCCGGCUAACUCCGUG
rnacentral:rRNA from 1 species